rnacentral:rRNA from 1 species
CAGCAGUAGCCGCGGGAAUACAGAGGGUGCGAGCGUUAAUCGGAUUUACUGGGCGUAAAGCGUGCGUAGGCGGCUUUUUAAGUCGGAUGUGAAAUCCCUGAGCUUAACUUAGGAAUUGCAUUCGAUACUGGGAAGCUAGAGUAUGGGAGAGGAUGGUAGAAUUCCAGGUGUAGCGGUGAAAUGCGUAGAGAUCUGGAGGAAUACCGAUGGCGAAGGCAGCCAUCUGGCCUAAUACUGACGCUGAGGUACGAAAGCAUGGGGAGCAAACAGGAUUAGAUACCCCCGUAGUCCCUGUCUCUUAUAC